UUCGGCAGAUUAGAAAAGGCGGUGGUCCCACCUGACCCCAUGCCGAACUCAGAAGUGAAACGCCGUAGCGCCGAUGGUAGUGUGGGGUCUCCCCAUGCGAGAGUAGGGAACUGCCAGAC
rnacentral:rRNA from 1 species